AAAAAGGAAAGAAAGAAGACUAAAAGCCGAGAGAGAGAGAGAGAGAGAGAGAAGAAGGGAAGAAAAAAAGAGCGACCGAUAAACAAACUCCAGAGGAUCGCGGCACUUUAAUCUCCCUUUCGGAGGCAUCAGCCGCCCUUUGCGGCACGGAAUGAAAAAGGGGCCGUGUGGUGGUGGGGGUGUCCUCUCCCCACCAGGACUCAUUAUAGCAACAUGCGCCUCUAUAAAAAGUAGUUGGAAAAAAAAGAAGAGAGAGAGAGAGAGAGAAUGAGAUAGAAAGGAGAAAGAGAGUGGAACGCGGAACAGCAACGUUGAAAGCAAGCGGACAGUGAUGGAACAAGGACGGUCGGAAGGAGCAUCCCUUAUUUCGUGGCUGCUUGUUGCACGGCUCGACGCAUUCGAAUGGUCUCACUCCUCUUUUCUGAUCCGGGCGGUUCCAGGUGGUUGCUGACCCCUCCUCUCAAAAAUUAGCUGUACCCCCUGAUCUAGCGGCUCUUACACAGCUGCGACCAGGUCGAUUCGAUGCAUCAAUGCGUCUAAAUAUAUGUAUGUACUUAGGUAUAUACCUAUCUA
rnacentral:lncRNA from 1 species